AUAUCUGCAAAAUUGAAAGAAAAAAAAUUGGAGGGUGACAUAAUUUCUCUCCCAUUUUGCAUCGAAAAGGCAUUUUCUUCCUGGUUGCUGUUAAUCAACUACUCGUAUACUCAUCCUAUACUCAACAACAACAACAACGCAAAGAUUCAUUCAUGUAACACACGUUCCAUUCCGUCAUACUUCAAAUUUCCUCCAAAUUUCCUCCAAAUUCUUUAUAUUUUCCUACCAUCCGACUCAUCAUCAUCAUCAGUUUCAACUUCAACCUCUCUCAAUAAUUAA